UUUUACAGAACUAAUUUUCAGGCGCUAUAUAAACCUGGCAUCCCUUUUAAAACUAUCAGCUUCUUACCAAUUCAUCAUGAGAAACCUCAGCUUUGUUUUUCUUCUGGCUGUCUUCGUAUUGGGAAUCAACGGAGAAUGCAGUAAUUUGGUGCAUGCAAUUCUUCGCCCUACUUGUGGAAUAGCCGCAGAUUGCUACUUUAAUGGCGAUAACGGAGAUUAUGUCAGAAAUGAGGAUUGCAAACGCAAAGAAAAAGGACUACCACCCUUCUUGGAAAUAAAAGGCGGAAAAUGUCCUACAGAUAAACCCAGGUGUGAAUAUAUAGCACACAAAUUUUAAGCGGAAAGUGCAUUGUAACAUUCAAUAAAAGAGCUUGAAGCGAAAUUGUGUUUUCUUGGCCCUUUCUUUUUUGGUUUUGCAACUUUGAAUUUUUAAGUGCAGUGCACAUCGGCAACGAACAUUCAUUUAUAUGCAUUUGUGUAUAUAUAGAUUUUUGACAGUAAAUAAAAACUUUAUAGUAAUCAUAUGUUUAAGUUCAUAUGUUCAUGUUAUCAUAUGACUCUUUAACAUUAAUAUUGUUUUAAAAACUGACGAUUGUGUGACAAACUUGUAAUCAUAGUUUGGCUUUCAUUUCGAUUUCACGGAUAAACUGACCCCUUAAUUCAUUUUUCACAGUACUAAUUUUCAGCCGCUAUAAAAACCUGGCAUCAUUUUUAAAACUAUCAGCUUCUUAACAGAUCAUCAUGAAAAACUUAAUCUUUGUUUUUAUUCUGGCUGUCUUCGUAUUGGGAACCGACGGAAAAUGCAACAAUUAUAUGCUUUUGGAUUAUUCGCCUACUUGUGGAAUAGCCGCAGAUUGCUACUUUUAUGGCGAAAACUAUUCUUUGGCCGACAAUCAGAAUUGCAGACGUAAAGAAAAAGGACUUCCACCCUUCUCGGAAAUAAAAGGCGGAAAAUGUCCUACAGAUAAACCCCCCUGUAAAUUUAUAAGGUACUAUUUUUAAGCGGAAAGUGCAUUGUAACAUCCAAUAAAAGAGCUUGAAGCGAAA